CCACUACACUAAUGUAUCUUUUCUCUCCUCUCCUUAUCCUUCUCCUUUUCUAAUAUUCUUUCUAUCCCGCUCUAUAUUCUUUCUGUCCCACUCUAUAUUCUUUCUAUCUCACUCUAAUAUUGUUUCUCUCCAUCGCUACAUCCUUUCUGUCCCAUUCUAUAUUCUUUGUCACUCUAUAUUCUUUUUGUCUCGCUCUAAUAUUGUUUCUCUCUAUCUCUAUAUCCUUUGUGUCCCACUCUAUAUUCUUUGUCCCUCUAUAUUCUUUCUAUCUCACUCUAAUAUUGUUUCUCUCCAUCUCUAUAUCCUUUCUGUCCCACUCUAUAUUCUCUGUUCCUCUAUAUUCUUUUUGUCCCACUCAAUUUUGUUUCUCUCCACCUCUAUAUCCAUUCUGUCCCCUUCUAUAUUCUUUGUCCCUCUAUUUUCUUUCUAUCUCACUCUAAUAUUGUUUUUCUCCAUCUCUAUAUCCUUUCUGCCCCACUCUAUAUUCUUGGUCCCUCUAUUUUCUUUCUAUCUCCCUCUAUAUUGUUUCUCUCCCUUUCUAUAUCCUUUCUCUCUCUAUAUAUCCUUUCUCUAAAUUCAAUCUUUCUCGUUCUUAACAACCUAUUUAAGAAGUACCAAUUGUCAGAUACUGCUUGUGGAGGAAUGGAUAAUUUUUCGGAUCAACUAUGUUUUUUUUUGUCCAUCAAUAAUGUCAAUAUAAAGAUGUUGUCACUAAUUUUUUGAACAGAAAAUUGCACAAGAGAAUCUCAUUCCAUAUUAUUACAAAAUUGACAGGCUGGCAGACUUCUGUUACAUCAAGGUGACAGACUGGCAAACUUCUGUUACCUCAAGGUGACAGGUAGACUUCUGUUACUUCUUGGUGACAGGCUGGCAGACUUCUGUUACUUCUAGGUGACAGGCUGGCAGAUUUCUGUUACAUCAAGGUGACAGGCUGCCAGACUUCUGUUACUUCUUGGUGACAGGCCAGGAUUUCUGUUCAAUCAAGGUGACAGGCUGGCAGACUUCUGUUACUUCUAGGUGACAGGCUGGCAGACUUCUGUUACAUCAAGGUGACAGGCUGCCAGACUUCUGUAACUUCUAGGUGACAGGCUGGCAGACUUUGUAUCUUCUAGGUGACAGGUGCCAGACUUCUGUAACUUCAGGUGACAGGCUGGCAUGUAAGGUGGACAGGCUGGCAGACUUUUCUGGUGAUGCUUCUAGGUGACAGGCUGGCAGACUUCUGUAACUUCUAGGUGACAGGCUGGCAGACUUCUGUAACUUCUAGGUGACAGGCUGCCAGACUUCUGUAACUUCUAGGUGACAGGCUGGCAGACUUCUGUAUCUUCUAGGUGACAGGCUGCCAGACUUCUGUAACUUCUAGGUGACAGGCUGGCAGACUUCUAUCUUCUAGGUGACAGGCUGGUAGCUUCUGUACUCAAGGUAACAGGUGCCAGACUUCUUAACUUCUAGGUGACAGGCUGACAGACUUCUGUUACAUAAGGUGAAGGCUGGUAGACUUCUGUUAUCUCAGGUGACAGCUGGCAGACUUCUGUUACAUAAGGUGACAGGCUGGCGACUUCUGUUACAUCAAGGUGACAGGUGGCAGACUUCUUUAGAUUAGGUGAAGGUGCAGGGUGCCAAACUUCUAGACUUCUGUAACUUCUAGGUGACAGGCUGGCAGACUUCUGUAACUUCUAGGUGACAGGCUGGCAGACUUCUGUAUCUUCUAGGUGACAGGCUGGCAGACUUCUGGUUACUUCUGUUACAUCAAGGUGACAGGCUGGAGACUUUGUUACAUCAAGGUGACAGGCUGGCGACUUCUGUACAUCAAGGUGACAGGCUGCCAGACUUCUGUAACUUAGGUGACAGGCUGGCGACUUUGUACUUCAGGUGACAGGCUGCCAGACUUCUGUAACUUCUAGGUGACAGGCUGGUAGACUUCUGUUACAUCAAGGUGACAGGCUGCCAGACUUCUGUAACCUCUAAAUGACAGGCUGGCAGACUUCUGUAUCUUCUAGGUGACAGGCUGCAGAACUUACUUGUAACUUCUAACAGGCUGAGACAGGCUGGCAUAAUCAACAGACUUUCCUGUAACUUCUAGGUGGAACUUCUAGGCUGGCAGACUUCUGUUACAUCAAGGUGACAGGCUGGCAGACUUCUGUUACAUCAAGGUGACCAGGGGCAGACUUCUAACUUCUAGGUGACAUCAGACUUAGUUGGACCUGACUCUGUUACAUCAGGUUGGCAGACAAAGGCUGGCAGACUUCUGCAAUACAAUAACUUCUAAUUGGUUGUAUCUGUAAACUUCUAGGUGAACAGGCUUCAAGACUUCUGUUCUUCUAGGUGACAGGCUGCCAGACUUCUGUAAACUUCUAAGGUGACAGGUAUGACUUCUGGUUACAUAAAAAGGUGCCAGGCUGGCAGAUCCUUCUGUACAAUCAACACAGGCUUUUGUUACAUCUAAGGUGACAAAUGGCAGACUUCUGUGGGGGGGUGACAGGCUGUUUUCCAUUAUACUAAGGUGACAGUAGGUUGACUUCUGUUACAUAUCAAGGUACAGCUGCCAGUGAUUUUGAAAUUUUCUGAUAUGAACUCAUAUAAAUUCCUCUCAAUACUAUCUUCGGAUUGUAAAGAAGCUUCUGCCCAAGUUUGGUAAAAAUCCAGGUUGGUUUACGAUAGUUUAAAAUUAAAAUUUCAAAAACUUUUAACCAGAGUGAAUAUUUGUGGAUGCCGCCAACGCUGAUGGAGCGUUGGCGGACUGUAGGAUCAUUAUGUCUUGCUUUUUUGACAAAAGUUGAAGGCUGGACAAAAAUCACAUCUCUAUACAUGAAAGUUCAAGGUUAAGGUACAUAGAUAUAUUUUUCUGAGACGUAUAUUCCCGUGUGGAUGAUGAAUAAAUUACAGGCUGGCAUACUUCUGCUACUUCUAGGUGACAGGCUGCCAGACUUCUGUUACAUCAAGGUGACAGGCUGCCAGACUUCCAUUACAUCAAGGUGACAGGCUGGCAGACUUCUGAUACAUCAAGGUGACAGGCUGGCAGACUUCUGGUACUUCAAGGUGACAGGCUGCCAGACUUCUGUUACAUCGAAUGACAGGCUGGCAGACUUCUGUUACAUCAAGGUGACAGGCUGCUAGACUUCUGUUACAUCAAGGUGACAGGCUGGCAGACUUCUGUAACUUCUAGGUGACAGGCUGGCCAGACUUCUGUAACUUCUAGGUGACAGGCUGCCAGACUUCUGUAACUUCUAGGUGACAGGCUGCCUGACUUCUGUUACAUCAAGGUGACAGGCUGCCAGACUUCUGGAACUUCUAGGUGACAGGGAACACUUCUGUAUCUUCUAGAUGACAGGCUGCCAGACUUCUGUAACUUCUAGGUGACAGGCUGGCAGACUUCUGUUACAUCAAGGUGACAGGCUGCCAGACUUCUGUUACAUCAAGGUGACAGGCUGCCAGACUUCUGUUACAUCAAGGUGACAGGCUGGCAGACUUCUGUAACAUCAAGGUGACAGGCUGCCAGACUUCAGUAACAUCAAGGUGACAGGCUGCCAGACUUCUGUUACAUCAAGGUGACAGGCUGGCAGACUUCUGUUACAUCAAGGUGACAGGCUGCCAGACUUCAGUAACAUCAAGGUGACAGGCUGACAGACUUCUGUUACAUCAAGGUGACAGGCUGGCAGACUUCUGUUACAUCAAGGUGACAGGCUGCCAGACUUCUGUAACUUCUAGGUGACAGGCUGGCAGACUUCUGUAUCUUCUAGGUGACAGGCUGCCAGACUUCUGUAACUUCUAGGUGACAGGCUGGCAGACUUCUGUUACAUCAGGUGACAGGCUGGCAGACUCUGUUACAUCAAGGUCAAGGUGACAGGCUGCCAGACUUCUGUUACUUCUAGGUGACAGGCUGGCAGACUUCUGUAACUUCUAGGUGACAGGCUGGCAGACUUCUGUAACUUC
rnacentral:lncRNA from 1 species